GACGAACGCUGGCGGCGUGCUUAACACAUGCAAGUCGAACGGAAAGGCCCUGCUUUUGUGGGGUGCUCGAGUGGCGAACGGGUGAGUAACACGUGAGUAACCUGCCCUUGACUUUGGGAUAACUUCAGGAAACUGGGGCUAAUACCGGAUAGGAGCUCCUGCUGCAUGGUGGGGGUUGGAAAGUUUCGGCGGUUGGGGAUGGACUCGCGGCUUAUCAGCUUGUUGGUGGGGUAGUGGCUUACCAAGGCUUUGACGGGUAGCCGGCCUGGGAGGGUGACCGGCCACCUUGGGACUAAGGUACGGCCCAGACUCCUACGGGAGGCAGCAGUGGGGAAUAUUGCCCAAUGGGCGGAAGCCUGAUGCAGCAACGCCGCGUGCGGGAUGACGACCUUCGGGUUGUGAACCGCUUUCGCCUGUGACGAAGCGUGAGUGACGGUAAUGGGUAAAGAAGCACCGGCUAACUACGUG
rnacentral:rRNA from 1 species